UACGGGGGGGGGGGCAAGCGUUGUUCGGAAUUACUGGGCGUAAAGAGCGUGUAGGCGGCCAAACAGGUCCGUUGUGAAAACUGGAGGCUCAACCUCCAGACGUCGACGGAAACCGUGUGGCUAGAGUCCGGAAGAGGAGAGUGGAAAUUCCUGGUGUAGCGGUGAAAUGCGCAGAUAUCAGGAAGAACACCAAUGGCGAAGGCAGCUCUCUGGGGACGGUACUGACGCUGAGACGCGAAAAAGCCGUGGGGGGGAGCGAAACAGGGAUUUAGAUACCCCCCGU
rnacentral:rRNA from 1 species